AAGCCUACACUUUCAGAGAUCGUUUUUACAGUUCCUUACUAGCGAAGUGCUCUGAGCAUGAAGAGUACUGAAAACCAUGAGGAGGAAGGACGGUGUUCUCUCCUGAGCAUACAGCCGACUAUUGGUGUUCCUUCUCUAAAAUUGCCAUUUGCCAUCGAUGAGCAUUCUCUUUUUGAAAGGAGGGAGAGAAAAAAGAGUCUGAAAGCC